rnacentral:rRNA from 1 species
UACGGGGGGGGCAAGCGUUGUUCGGAAUUACUGGGCGUAAAGGGCGCGUAGGCGGCCUUCUAAGUCGAACGUGAAAUCCCCGGGCUCAACCCGGGAACUGCGUCCGAUACUGGAAGGCUUGAAUCCGGGAGAGGGAUGCGGAAUUCCAGGUGUAGCGGUGAAAUGCGUAGAUAUCUGGAGGAACACCGGUGGCGAAGGCGGCAUCCUGGACCAAUUCUGACGCUGAGGAGCGAAAGCCAGGGGAGCAAACGGG